AGGGUUUGAUCCUGGCUCAGAACGAACGCUGGCGGCGUGGAUUAGGCAUGCAAGUCGAGCGAGAACCGUUACUUUGGCAACAGAGUGCGGGGAAAGCGGCGAAAGGGUGAGUAACGUAUAGAUAACCUACCCUCUUGUCGGGGAUAACUCAGGGAAACUUGAGCUAAUACCCGAUUGGCUCGGGGCUCCGCAUGGAGCUUCGAGUAAAGAUAGCCUCUCAAUGAAGCUUUCGCAGGAGGAGGGGUCUAUAUCCUAUCAGCUAGUUGGUGAGGUAACGGCUCACCAAGGCAUUGACGGGUAGCCGACCUUAGCGGGUGACCGGCCACACUGGGACUGAGACACUGCCCAGACUCCUACGGGAGGCUGCAGUCGAGAAUCUUCCACAAUGGGCGAAAGCCUGAUGGAGCGACGCCGCGUGCGUGACUGAAGGCCUUCGGGUUGUAAACCGCUGUCACAGGUUAAGAAACGUUAGGGGGUGAAGAGCCCCCUAGCUUGACAAAGGCCUGAGAGGAAGCCACGGCUAACUUCGUGCCAGCAGCCGCGGUAAGACGAAGGUGGCGAGCGUUGUUCGGAAUCACUGGGCAUAAAGGGCGCGUAGGCGGUCCCUUAAGUCGGAUGUGAAAGCCCCCGGCCCAACCGGGGAACUGCGUCCGAUACUGAGGGACUUGAGGGUCGGAGAGGUGCAUGGAAUUCCUGGUGGAGCGGUGAAAUGCGUUGAUAUCAGGAGGAACACCGGAGGCGAAGGCGAUGCACUGGUCGAUCUCUGACGCUGAGGCGCGAAAGCCAGGGGAGCAAACGGGAUUAGAUACCCCGGUAGUCCUGGCCGUAAACGGUGGGCACUAGGUAGGAGGAAACCUAACUUCUUCCUGCUGCCGCAAAUGCAUUAAGUGCCCCGCCUGGGGAGUAUGGUCGCAAGGCUGAAACUCAAAGGAAUUGACGGGAGCUCACACAAGCGGUGGAGCAUGUUGAUUAAUUCGAAACAACGCGCAGAACCUUACCCGGGUUUGACAUGUAGGUAGUAGUGAACCGAAAGGGGAGCGACUCACUUCUGUGAGAGCCUACACAGGUGUUGCAUGGCUGUCGUCAGCUCGUGUCGUGAGAUGUUAGGUUAAGUCCUAUAACGAGCGAAACCCUUAUCGUUAGUUACCAGCGGUUCGGCCGGGGACUCUAACGAGACUGCCUGUGUUAAACAGGAGGAAGGCGGGGAUGACGUCAAGUCCUCAUGGCCCUUACACCCGGGGCUUCAAACGUGCCACAAUGGUCGGUACAAAGGGCUGCAAGGCUGCGAGGCCAAGCAAAUCCCAAAAAAACCGAUCUCAGUUCGGAUUGUAGGCUGCAACUCGCCUACAUGAAGCUGGAAUCGCUAGUAAUCGUGGAUCAGCUACGCCACGGUGAAUAUGUUCCUGAGCUUUGUACACACCGCCCGUCAAGCCACGAGAGCUGGUAGUACCCGAAGUCGCUGACCCAACCUCACGGAGGGAGGCGCCGACGGUAAGACCGGUGAUUGGGACUAAGUCGUAACAAGGUA
rnacentral:rRNA from 1 species